rnacentral:misc_RNA from 1 species
UCUCCGUUGGUGAACCAGCGGAGGGAUCAUUACAGGACUCGCAAGACUCCUUACGCCCUGUGAACCUUACUGUAUACGCGUUGCUUCGGCGGGUCCGCCCGCCGGCAGCAUACCACAUUCUGUUUCUCUGCGUUGGCAUCUCGAGAAAAAAGCAAAUAAGUUAAAACUUUCAACAACGGAUCUCUUGGUUCUG